rnacentral:rRNA from 1 species
GAUCAUGGCUCAGGAUGAACGCUAGCUACAGGCUUAACACAUGCAAGUCGAGGGGGAAACGACAUCGAAAGCUUGCUUUUGAUGGGCGUCGACCGGCGCACGGGUGAGUAACGCGUAUCCAACCUGCCCGCCACUUGGGGAUAACCUUGCGAAAGUAAGACUAAUACCCAAUGAUAUCCCACGAAGGCAUCCGAAUGGGAUUAAAGAUUUAUCGGUGAUGGAUGGGGAUGCGUCUGAUUAGCUUGUUGGCGGGGUAACGGCCCACCAAGGCUACGAUCAGUAGGGGUUCUGAGAGGAAGGUCCCCCACAUUGGAACUGAGACACGGUCCAAACUCCUACGGGAGGCAGCAGUGAGGAAUAUUGGUCAAUGGGCGAGAGCCUGAACCAGCCAAGUAGCGUGCAGGAUGACGGCCCUAUGGGUUGUAAACUGCUUUUAUAAGGGAAUAAAGUUAGUCUCGUGAGACUUUUUGCAUGUACCUUAUGAAUAAGGACCGGCUAAUUCCGUG